ACUCAAAGGAAUUGACGGGGGCCCGCACAAGCGGUGGAGCAUGUGGCUUAAUUCGAUGCAACGCGAAGAACCUUACCAGGGCUUGACAUGUACCUGCAAGCACCCGAAACGGUGCCGCCUUCGAGGGUGGUACACAGGUGGUGCAUGGCUGUCGUCAGCUCGUGUUGUGAAAUGUUGGGUUAAGUCCCGCAACGAGCGCAACCCUCAUGUUUUGUUACCAGCGAGUAAAGUCGGGGACUCAAGACAAACUGCCUCUGUAAAGAGGAGGAAGGUGGGGAUGACGUCAAGUCAUCAUGCCCCUUACGCCCUGGGCUGCACACAUGCUACAAUGGCCGGUACAAAGGGCUGCGAGAGCGCGAGCUGGAGCAAAUCCCAAAAAGCCGGUCUCAGUUCGGAUUGGAGUCUGCAACUCGACUCCAUGAAGUCGGAAUCGCUAGUAACCGCCGGUCAGCAAUACGGCGGUGAAUACGUUCCCGGGCCUUGCACACACCGCCCGU
rnacentral:rRNA from 1 species